GGCUUUCGUUCCUGCUUGGCUCCUCCCUCAUGCUCCCCUUUCUCCCACUCCUGCUGCCUAGCUGUUGCCACCGGGCCUGGCCAAACCCUGAUUUGAGGAGCCUAUCUCCUUCUCUUCCCCCUCUCUGCCUCCCCGACACAAACCAAAGCUAAUCAGAACGGGGGCGGUCCUUCGCCUUUCUGCUGGGCUACUCUGACCUGGGUACAUGGUCUCAAGCCCCAGCUCGUACUCUUUCAGUGAAGAUGCAUGUAGCGGCCACAUAUGAGAGUCCAGAGAAGCUGUGGGUGUGGGUUUAUUUGAGCUCUCUUGUCCCUUCACCUGCAUUGGAGGAGCGGAGGUGGAGCCCGGGGAUGCUUGGGAUGCUUGCUGAAGGGCACCUUUCCCUUCCUCCCUGUGCUGUGCUUUCUGGUAGGGAAAUGUGUCCUGCAGUCAAAGGCCUUGAAUACCUAGUGCCUUAAGCUGUAGGGAAAGGACUCUGCUGGGUCCAGAAGUGCAGACCUUGGGUGAUUAUGUUACUGACCAGCUGUGUGAGCUGGGAAAGUUACCUGAGCUGUAUCUCAAGCUUCCUCAUCCGUGAAAUGGACAGCUUGGACCAGAUUUCUGUAGGUUCGGAGCCUGGCGUUGAGCAGUUUACACAGUUGGUGGUAAAGAGUGGCAAGCUAUGUGCUGAGCUCAUAGUUACACAGUUCUCCAAAAGUUGGGUCACAAGUAAAUCUUCUCAAAGGCUCAGCAGCUUCCUCGGGCAGUAUCAGGCCCAUGAAAGUUGUUACUGAAUGGAAAGGCCAAUUUACAAAGAGAUGUAGUGUAGGCAAGCGAGGGGACUGAGCCAGUAAAAUCCCUUGCUCUGUGAGCAUGGUGGCCUGAGUUGGCCUUGGACCUAUGUAAGGUAGAAGGAGAGAACCAACUCCAGGGCAGUGGUGGUGCUCGCCUUUAAUCCCAGCACUGGGGAGGCAGAGGCAGGAGGAUUUCUGAGUUCGAGGCCAGCCUGGGCUACAGAGUGAGUUCCAGGACAGUCAGGGCUACGCAGAGAAACCCUGUCUUGAGAGAACCAACUCCAAAAGUUAUCCUCUGACCUCUACAAACAUGCUGUGGCAUACAUGUCCCAGGGAUUCAGACAUCAUACACACACAUGCACACACAUAUAAUAAUAAAUUUUAAAAGCAUCUUGAAAUGUAGUGAUGUGGUGCCGAGACCCUGUGAGCCCCAUAAUCCCACCAAUGAAGCCUCCUGGGAGAUCUGGAAGGUAAAGAAGCUCACGGAUGUUUCAAAUUGCAUUGUUGAAAUAAGAUAAUCUCCCAUCUCUUUUCCUACAUGCUCCCCGCCACUCUGUUCCAUGUCCGCUGAGAAUAUUGCUUUGGUGAAGGAUCCAGCAAAUAAGACCAAGAUCCCCAGGCAGGUAGCAGAAAAGAGAAUAAGUCACUCAGGUGGUUAAUCUGCAAUUGGGUCGUCCUAUCUUCACAUUCAGCUGCUACCCAGGAUCUCCUGUGCCUGUUUUACAUGUGGGGGAUUUGUCAGUGAGCAAGAAAGACUCAUGGCUAAAUUAAGGAGCUUACAGAAGCCAGGAAUUUCAUGUUGUCAUGAAAGCAAGCAAGACUCAUCAGGAGACACUUUAAGAAGAAUAAGAUGCUCACUGAAUGGGGCAGCAUGGAGGAAAGUUACAGAAGAGGGAGGAAGAGGACAACAUGCCUGGAGCCAUAAGAUCAUGAUCUUAGGCAGGGUCAGGUUGAUUUGAACCUUCAUCUAUAAAACCAAGACCAGCCAUGAUAAUAAAGACACCCUGUGAAAGGCAGCUGAAGGGAGAAGGGUUUGCUCUAGUGCACAGUUUAGGGGUAUAGUUCAUGAUUGCUGGGAAAUCCAAGUGCCAAGAACUUAAAGCAGACAUACAGUAUGAACAUACAGACUAGGGAAUGGUGCUGCCCACAGUGGACAGAGGUCCCGACCUCCAUCAACACAACCAAAACACACCGCCCCCACAGGCUUGUCCAGCGGCCUGUCUUCCAGGUGAUUCUAUAUUCUGUCAAGCUGACAGCUAACAUUACCCAUCACACCAGCGAAUACAGAUUGCAUUAGAACAGCAAUGUGAAGGGAUUAGGGCUACUGGGGGAAAUGGAUAAGCAGUUUGGCUGCCUGUCCUAUGGCAAGCAAGUGACUCUUUGUCAGUUGAGUUAGAUUCUGAAGACAAAUUCGCCACAGUCAGAAAGGGUCAGUGAUUAAAGCUGUCCCCCGCCAUGAGAGAAAGUGGACGGCAGGGUACUUUAAACUGUCUCAUGUGGCAAAGCACUUUGCAGAGAACCACAGAGACUUGCGUAGCAGGGAAGUAUUUUAUUAGGUCACUGAGCUAUCCUCAGGUGCUCCUCUGAGCCUGUGAAUCAGUGGGCUAUCCCUGUGCGCCCCAGCUGGAAUGUUCUGGUUACAGUUACAGCUGCUGGGUCUGCCUCACUGGCAGGCGGACUUGCUACUACACUGUUAGCAGCUUCUCCUCUCACCAUCUUUGUUUCCUCACGCGUGAUUAAUAACUAAAGCUCACUGGUCCUUUUUUAUCCCCUGGAGGACCAGAGACUAAUCUCAUACGUUGACAGUUUUCUCUAACAAGGUAAGGAAGGCCCACAACUGUUAAUGACUUGUCUCCCAACGGUGGCUGUGUGCCUGUCAGUUACAAAAUCUGCCCUUCGUGGAAGCUGCAGCCGUGUGUUCAGAGGACUGACAACCAUCUCACCGAUGAGAGAUGACAAUUUAUUGCCUGCCAAGAAAGGGAAAGUGGAAAGGUUGUAAGCAGGGGAGCUGAAAUCCUUGGCUAAAGUUCAAGCCUUUGCGAACUCCCUGGGUUUAGAGGAAGCACUGAAUUCCACCAUGGGAUCACACCAGAAAAGUGAAACUACUAGCUGUCAUUGUCACAAAGAUGUUUCCUGUGACGAUUACCCCCAGAGAUGUACCCAGCCAGAGAUGACAACCACCACUAUAGGUCAGCCUGAAGGUGAGGCCAGACCACUUCUUUUUACAAUUAACUGCUAUCCGGGGGGGGGGGGGGGUGGAUAGUAGCCAUUUGGAUUGCUUCUCAUUCUUAUUCAUGGGGAGGAGAGGCUGGCUUUCCAUGAAUCUCUCCAA
rnacentral:lncRNA from 1 species